UCACGUCUUACGACGGCAGUUUCACUAGAGUUCCCAGCGUUACCUGAUGGCAACUAGUGAUGGGGGUUGCGCUCGUUGCGGGACUUAACCCAACAUCUCACGACACGAGCUGACGACAGCCAUGCAGCACCAGUCACCGGUCCAGCCGAACUGAAGGUAUCCAUCUCUGGAAACCGCGACCGGGAUGUCAAGGGCUGGUAAGGUUCUGCGCGUUGCUUCGAAUUAAAGAACAUGCUCCGCUGCUUGUGCGGGCCCCCGUCAAUUCUUUUGAGUUUUAGCCUUGCGGCCGUACUCCCCAGGCGGAACACUUAACGCGUUGGCUGCGGCACCGAGGGAUUCGACUCCCCCAACACCUAGUGUUCAUCGUUUACGGCAUGGACUAC
rnacentral:misc_RNA from 1 species